UACGAAGGGGGCUAGCGUUGCUCGGAAUCACUGGGCGUAAAGCGCACGUAGGCGGAUUGCUAAGUCAGGGGUGAAAUCCUGGAGCUCAACUCCAGAACUGCCUUUGAUACUGGCGAUCUUGAGUCCGGGAGAGGUGAGUGGAACUGCGAGUGUAGAGGUGAAAUUCGUAGAUAUUAGGAAGAACACCAGUGGCGAAGGCGGCUUUCUGGCUCGUAACUGACGCUGAGGCGCGAAAGCGUGGGGAGCAAACAGG
rnacentral:rRNA from 1 species